rnacentral:rRNA from 1 species
UACGGAGGGUGCGAGCGUUAAUCGGAAUUACUGGGCGUAAAGGGUGCGUAGGCGGUUUAAUAAGUUAUGUGUGAAAGGACUGGGCUUAACCUGGUAGUGUCAUAUAAUACUGUUGAACUGGAGUAGCGUAGAGGGCAGUGGAAUUUCCGGUGUAGCGGUGAAAUGCGUAGAUAUCGGAAGGAACACCGGUGGCGAAGGCGGCUGCCUGGACGCAUACUGACGCUGAGGCACGAAAGCGUGGGGAGCAAACAGG